UGAGGAAUCUUGCGCAAUGGGGGAAACCCUGACGCAGCGACGCCGCGUGAGUGAGGAAGGUCUUCGGAUCGUAAAGCUCUGUCAGUUGGAAAGAAAUGUCUGAGAGUCAAUCCCUUUCAGGCUUGACGGUACCAACAGAGGAAGCACCGGCUAACUCCGUGCCAGCAGCCGCGGUAAUACGGGGGGUGCAAGCGUUGUUCGGAAUUAUUGGGCGUAAAGAGCGUGUAGGCGGCCGGAUAUGUCAGAUGUGAAAGCCCCGGGCUUAACCCGGGAAGUGCAUUUGAAACUGUCCGGCUCGAGUAGGGGAGAGGGAAGUGGAAUUCCUGGUGUAGAGGUGAAAUUCGUAGAUAUCAGGAGGAACACCGGUGGCGAAGGCGACUUCCUGGCCCUAUGCUGACGCUGAGACGCGAGAGCGUGGGUAGCAAACAG
rnacentral:rRNA from 1 species